rnacentral:rRNA from 1 species
GGAAUUUUGGACAAUGGGGGCAACCCUGAUCCAGCCAUUCCGCGUGAGUGAAGAAGGCCUUCGGGUUGUAAAGCUCUUUCGCAAGGGAAGAAAACUUAUGAUCGAAUAAAUCAUGAGGUUGACGGUACCUUGAUAAGAAGCACCGGCUAACUACGUGCCAGCAGCCGCGGUAAUACGUAGGGUGCGAGCGUUAAUCGGAAUUACUGGGCGUAAAGCGUGCGCAGGCGGUUUUGUAAGUCGGAUGUGAAAUCCCCGGGCUCAACCUGGGAACUGCGUUCGAAACUGCAAGGCUAGAGUGUGUCAGAGGGGGGUAGAAUUCCACGUGUAGCAGUGAAAUGCGUAGAGAUGUGGAGGAAUACCAAUGGCGAAGGCAGCCCCCUGGGAUAACACUGACGCUCAUGCACGAAAGCGUGGGGAGCAAACAGGAUUAGAUACCCUGGUAGUCCACGCCCUAAACGAUGUCAACUAGUUGUUGGUAGAGUAAAAUCUAUGAGUAACGUAGCUAACGCGUGAAGUUGACCGCCUGGGGAGUACGGUCGCAAGAUUAAAACUCAAAGGAAUUGACGG